rnacentral:rRNA from 1 species
UGGGGAAUCUUGCGCAAUGGGCGGAAGCCUGACGCAGCGACGCCGCGUGGGUGACGAAGGCCUUCGGGUCGUAAAGCCCUGUCAGCCGGGAAGAAGGUCUCUGUCGUACGGCGGCAGGGGCGAUGACGGUACCGGCGAAGGAAGCACCGGCUAACUCCGUGCCAGCAGCCGCGGUAAGACGGAGGGUGCAAGCGUUGUUCGGAAUCAUUGGGCGUACAGGGCGCGCAGGCGGCCGGGCGGGUCCGGUGUGAAAGCCCGGGGCUCAACCCCGGAGGUGCACUGGAAACUGUCUGGCUUGAGUCCGGGAAGGGCCAGUGGAAUUCCUGGUGUAGGGGUGAAAUCCGUAGAGAUCAGGAGGAACACCGGAGGCGAAAGCGACUGGCUGGACCGGGACUGACGCUGAGGCGCGAAAGCGCGGGCAGCGAACA